rnacentral:rRNA from 1 species
GAUGAACGCUGGCGGCGUGCCUAAUACAUGCAAGUCGAGCGAACAGACGAGGAGCUUGUUCCUCUGACGUUAGCGGCGGACGGGUGAGUAACACGUGGAUAAUCUCCCUAUAAGACGGGGAUAACUUCGGGAAAGCGGAGCUAAUACCGGAUAAUAUACUGAACCCAAUGGCUCAAUAGUGAAAGACGGAUUUGCUGUCAGUUAUAGAUAGAUCCGCGCCGCAGGAGCUAGUUGGAAUGGUAACGGCUUACCAAGGCAACGAUGCGGAGCCGACCGGAGAGGGUGGGGGGCCACGCCGGAAUGGGGCCACGGCCCAGACUCCUACGGGAGGCGGCGGUGGGGAAUCGUCCGCUAUGGGCGAGAGCCUGACCGAGCAACGCCGCGCCGGGGAAGAGGGUCCGGGGAUCGGAAAGCUAUGCUCUGAGGGAAGAAAAGAUGUGUAGGUAGCUAUGCACGUAGUGACGGUACCUAAUCAGAAAGCCACGGCUAACUACGUG